rnacentral:pre_miRNA from 12 species
GUGUAUUCUACAGUGCACGUGUCUCCAGUGUGGCUCGGAGGCUGGAGACGCGGCCCUGUUGGAGUAAC